UACGGGAGGCAGCAGUGGGGAAUAUUGCACAAUGGAGGAAACUCUGAUGCAGCAACGCCGCGUGGAGGAUGACGCAUUUCGGUGUGUAAACUCCUUUUAUAUAGGAAGAUAAUGACGGUACUAUAUGAAUAAGCACCGGCUAACUCCGUGCCAGCAGCCGCGGUAAU
rnacentral:rRNA from 2 species